GGAGGAUUAGCUCAGCUGGGAGAGCACCUGCCUUACAAGCAGGGGGUCACAGGUUCAAGUCCUGUAUCCUCCACCA
rnacentral:tRNA from 1 species